AUCAAAAAACAAUAUAAAUAUAUAUAUAUAUAUAUAUAUAUAUAUAUAUAUAUAUAUAUAUCAGAUCCGAUGUAGAGAUAAUCGAAGUGGAAAAAAAAGAAGAAAAGAAGUGAAGGAAGAUAUGCCAUCUUCUCUCUUUAUCA
ensembl:ncRNA T24A11.9 ncRNA